CUUCCUUCUUGCUGCAUUCACAUUCCUCUGUGUCACCAAGCUGCUCCCAGUCCGGUCUGAGCAAGGUUUAGAGAGGGCAGCUGUGACCUGGAAAGGCUCUUUGAAAGCACAACGUUUAAUAAGGGGGCUCAGCGGUAAAGAGAGGUCCGGUGCCCACCAAAGGGCCGCGGUGGUGUGACGCCCCUCCCCCAUCUAUCUUUCAAAGACCACUCUGCCUCACUGUGGAGCAGGGAUACAGGGCAAUGAUGGACACCAAGGGCUGCUGGGAAGCAACUGCGAUUCAGACACUGAGGCUGGAGAAGGCUCAGGAUCAAGUGGCCUCCCAAGUUGUACUUGACCUCCCAGCUGCAAAAAAGACAAAAAGAACCCCACCCAGAGCUCUCAGGAGCCAAGGCCUCCUGGAGCAAGCAAGGGAGCCUGGGAAGGGACUGAGGCCAGGCAUCUGGCAAGGAACACAGGUCCGAACACAGAUGAGCCAAGCCCUCUGGAGUCCAGCAUCAUCAUUAUCCUCCUGAUCUUCCUCUUUCCUUCCUGGGCCUGAAGUGCCUGCUGUGUGCCAGGCCCUGGGCCCACCAUUGUCCACGUCCCCAUGGUCCCUGGAGGCGGCAGAAGUGGGCAGACACCUGGUGGUGUGUGUUCACAGAGUCAGUCCACAUCCCAAAGUUUUCCACAGUAGGUGCCAGGACCACAGAGAUGACCAAGCCAUGCUCUGCCUGCAGCCGGUUCAGGCUAGCUGAGGACAUGAGUGGGAACUCUUACGUCCAGCCCCAGACAGCUGUGAGAAUGGUGAACAGGAAGCAGAGGGAGAGUGCUGUGGGUCCCCGGAGGGAAACGGCUGUGCCUUUGAAUGUGUGUUUAGUCAUUCGCUUAUUUCAUCGGUUGUCUGUUAUUGAGCAUCUGUGGCCUGGGCGGUGCUGGGAAUAGCCAGAGGACUAUGGGAAAGGCAGGCUUUCCAAUGGGCAGACCACUCUUCGAACCCUUUUCGAGGACAGGCUGAGCUUGUGGUAGAGGCUGCAGGUGUGGGGGCUGGGCAGCAGCAGAUGUGGGAAGUCUGUAGUGGUUAGGAGGUGCGGGCAUGUUAGGUUGUAGACUGGAUCAGGUAGAUGGGAGCCUGCAGUGGGAGGCUGGCAUCUGAGUUAUUCUGUGUUCCGGUUCUACCCAGGGUCAGACCACUGCAGGCAAAGAUAGAAUGGAAGGGUUGGGUCUCAGAAACAGCAGGAGGACCUAUACUCUAUCCAAGGACAUACGCGUGGAACUUUGGAAAUGAUUCUUUAGAACAGAGGGCUUCAUUGUGAAGACUUUCUGGAACCGUGACUUCCACAUCUGCCCCACCCUGGGGUAGAUUUACAUGUCUAUUUACAUGUGUUUGCAUAAAGUAUGAUCUGAUCCAUA